AAACCCAUACAACAAAGGAAAACAUCUCACCUCUGUCCCCUGUUCCUCACCUCAAAAGCAAUCAUGAGUCAGAAGAAAACGUAAGUCUACACUCCAAACAGAAUUAAAUACACUCAAGUAAGCAGCUGAGGAUAUGAUGUGACCAUCACCGGACCAGGAGUUCAAAAACUCAGACUAGAAAUAGCCAACUUGAGAAGACAUGAAAAAAGAAAUUGAUUGAACUCAGGAAGGACAUUAAAGAAAAAGACAAAAUUAUCCCAUUAAUGAAAAAUAAAUUAAAAGAUGACCAAGGGAGAAUAAACUCAAAUGAAAAUUUUGUCAGGACAUUGAACAAAGGCAAAGAAACACAUAGGAGAAUGAGAAGGACAUGAGCGACACCAGCCAGUCAGAAGGCGGUCAAAGGAGGCCAGGUCUUGGUGUGGUCACGUGAGGGUCCUAGAACCGCAGCGCUGGGCUCUGUGCAGCAGGACGGCUAAGCAGUACGUUGUCACAGUGUCCACAGACACCGCUGGCCAGACCCCAGGAGUCACUCUCCCUGAGAGAACUGAUGGCAAAAGAAUGACAAGAACUCCAGGGGAUGGGCUUCCUAAAUACCCUGACUUCAUCAUUACGCAUUCUAUGCGUGUAACAAAAUAUCACAGACACCCACAAAUAGAUACAAAUAUUAUGUAUCAAUUUUUAAAAAAGGAAAAAUGAAUGAAUUUCACAGUCUUGUAUAAUCAGAGUGUCUACAGUGCUCCUAAAGUAACUCAAACAUACGGUCACUGGAAAGAUAAAAACCAAUGAGCCAAUUGGAGUGAAACUCUGACCCGGAAACGUGAGGUGCCAGCCCCCUCAGCACAGAUGCGAUGUAGAGUUACGGGAGGUGGGAAUGACUCUGUUCUCUGUCCUGUCUCCUCAUCUGCAAAAUUAGAAAGACUGUCUUGAAUAUCUCCAGGGACCUCUCCCCUCUUCAUUCCAGCCUCUGACAAACUCCACACAUCAGGCCAGGGGAAGCCCCGGAGCCAAGCCUCUUUUCUCAUUCUCUUCUAAUAAGUGCUUGGAGGUACUAGGAGGGCCCCUUUCCACUAUGAGCAACCAGGCGCUCUGCUGUGUGGCCCUUUGUCUCCUCGGAGCAAAAAUCGUGGAUGGUGGAAUCACUCAAUCCCCAAAGUACCUGUUCAGAAAGGAAGGACAGGCUGUGACCCUAGGUUGUGAACAGAAUUUGAACCACGAUGCCAUGUACUGGUACCGACAGGACCCAGGGCAAGGACUGAGACUGAUCUACUACUCACGGAUAGUAGAUGACUUUCAGAAAGGAGACAUAGCUGAAGACUACAGCGUCUCUCGGGAGAAAAAGGAGUCCUUCCCUCUCACUGUGACAUCGGCCCAAUGGAACCACACAGCUUUCUAUCUCUGUGCCAGUAGUAUUGACACAGUGAAGCACAGAUGCUGCCUCUCUGUGCAUAAAUGUGCCCAGUCCUGCUUCCCCGACCAGGUGGCAGGGCUCCUCUGCACGGUCCCUGCCUGCCCUCUUUCCUGCACCUCAGCCAGUCAUGCAGUGCAGCUGCUGCCAUCAACAGACUGUGUGAUGGCAGGAAACUUCACUCAGCCUCUCUCUAUAUAUAGUUUCACAUAUAUAGUUUUUUAA